rnacentral:rRNA from 1 species
CCUACGGGAGGCAGCAGUGGGGAAUUUUGGACAAUGGGGGCAACCCUGAUCCAGCCACUCCGCGUGAGUGAAGAAGGCCUUCGGGUUGUAAAGCUCUUUCGCAAGGGAAGAAAACUUAUGAUCGAAUAAAUCAUGAGGUUGACGGUACCUUGAUAAGAAGCACCGGCUAACUACGUGCCAGCAGCCGCGGUAAUACGUAGGGUGCGAGCGUUAAUCGGAAUUACUGGGCGUAAAGCGUGCGCAGGCGGUUUUGUAAGUCGGAUGUGAAAUCCCCGGGCUCAACCUGGGAACUGCGUUCGAAACUGCAAGGCUAGAGUGUGUCAGAGGGGGGUAGAAUUCCACGUGUAGCAGUGAAAUGCGUAGAGAUGUGGAGGAAUACCAAUGGCGAAGGCAGCCCCCUGGGAUAGCACUGACGCUCAUGCACGAAAGCGUGGGGAGCAAACAGGAUUAGAUACCCUGGUAGUCCACGCCCUAAACGAUGUCAACUAGUUGUUGGUAGAGUAAAAUCUAUAAGUAACGUAGCUAACGCGUGAAGUUGACCGCCUGGGGGAGGUACGGUCGCGAAGUAAGUUAAACGUUAAAGUUAAAGUUAGUUACGGUUCGUGNGACGNGCGACGGACGACGACGAGGGAGGAGG